rnacentral:rRNA from 1 species
GGUUCAUUCAAAUUUCUGCCCUAUCAACUUUCGACGGCUGGGUCUUGGCCAGCCGUGUGACAACGGGUAACGGAGGGUUAGAGUUCGAUCCCGGAGAAGGAGCCUGAGAAACGGCUACUACAUCCAAGGAAGGCAGCAGGCGCGCAAAUUACCCAAUCCCGACCGGGGAGGGUGUGACAAUAAAUACUGAUACAGGGCUCUUUUGGGUCUUGUAAUUGGAAUGAGUACAAUUUAAAUCCCUUAACGAGGAACAAUUGGAGGGCAAGUCUGGUGCCAGCAGCCGGGUAAUUCCAGCUCCAAUAGCGUAUAUUAAAGUUGUUGCAGUUAAAAAGCUCGUAGUUG